rnacentral:rRNA from 1 species
ACGAACGCUGGCGGCGUGCUUAACACAUGCAAGUCGAACGGUGAAGCGCCUUCCUUUUUGGUGGGUGUGGAUGAGUGGCGAACGGGUGAGUAACACGUGAGUAACCUGCCCCCUUCUUCUGGAUAACCGCAUGAAAGUGUGGCUAAUACGGGAUAUUCUGGGUCUGUCGCAUGAUGGGUCUGGGAAAGAUAUUGUUUCGGUGGGGGAUGGGCUCGCGGCCUAUCAGCUUGUUGGUGGGGUGAUGGCCUACCAAGGCGGUGACGGGUAGCCGGCCUGAGAGGGUGGACGGUCACACUGGGACUGAGACACGGCCCAGACUCCUACGGGAGGCAGCAGUGGGGAAUAUUGCACAAUGGGCGCAAGCCUGAUGCAGCGACGCCGCGUGAGGGAUGGAGGCCUUCGGGUUGUGAACCUCUUUCGCCAGUGAAGCAGGCCUGCCUCGUCUGUGGGUGGGUUGACGGUAGCUGGAUAAGAAGCGCCGGCUAACUACGUG